CCUACGGGACGCAGCAGUGGGGGAUAUUGCACAAUGGGGGAAACCCUGAUGCAGCGACGCCGCGUGGGCGAAGAAGUAUUUCGGUAUGUAAAGCCCUAUCAGCAGGGAAGAAGAAAUGACGGUACCUGAGUAAGAAGCACCGGCUAAAUACGUGCCAGCAGCCGCGGUAAUACGUAUGGUGCAAGCGUUAUCCGGAUUUACUGGGUGUAAAGGGCGCGUAGGCGGGAUGGCAAGUCAGAUGUGAAAUCCAGGGGCUCAACCCCUGAACUGCAUUUGAAACUGUCGUUCUUGAGUACUGGAGAGGU
rnacentral:rRNA from 1 species